rnacentral:lncRNA from 1 species
AGGCUUCAGCAGAAGAAACACUUCCUAUAAAUCUCGCCCAAACAGGAAAGGAGAAGCAUCAGGGUGUCCGACUACGUGGGUUUCAUAGCUGUGGAAAAGCCAAAGGGGAGACUCCUGAAGAAAGGCGGUGAAGACUGUGAAGAGCGGGUCAGGAAGAUGAGCACAGCACUGCUACUCCUGUGGGCACAGGGACAGCAUGUCUCCAGCCAGCGCCACCUUGUUUAAUACAUGGGAACUCACUGAAAUUCAUUCUGUAUUUUGCCCACAAAGUUUUAAAGCUUUCAUCCACAGUCAGGAAUUAAACUUAUACCAAUGAGAGCCUCACACAUUCAAGGAUGUACUAAGCACUACAGGCCUCACAGAAACAGAGAUCCCAUCUUGGAGUUUUCAGUCCCACAUGGGAGAUAAAGGGUUUUGAACAUGAAAUGACAAAAACAACAGCAAGAAGAAAAUUCUCGUCCUUUUUCAUUACUAUCAAACUCAAAUAAAUGUCUUGGCUCUUACAUUACAUUCAUUCUUCAACCAUUGUGGUCUGGCUUCCACUUCCUUCACUUCACCAACAUGGCUCUGCCAAAGGAAGCCUGUGAUCUCUAGGCCAUCACUUUAAUUGAUCUCUCUACAACAUUUAUCCUGGUCGUUAAGCCCUCCUUACAACAUUCUUCUCUC